AACACGUGGGUAACCUGCCCUUAAGUGGGGGAUAACAUUUGGAAACAGAUGCUAAUACCGCAUAAAUCCAAGAACCGCAUGGUUCUUGGCUGAAAGAUGGCGUAAGCUAUCGCUUUUGGAUGGACCCGCGGCGUAUUAGCUAGUUGGUGAGGUAACGGCUCACCAAGGCAAUGAUACGUAGCCGAACUGAGAGGUUGAUCGGCCACAUUGGGACUGAGACACGGCCCAAACUCCUACGGGAGGCAGCAGUAGGGAAUCUUCCACAAUGGACGCAAGUCUGAUGGAGCAACGCCGCGUGAGUGAAGAAGGCUUUCGGGUCGUAAAACUCUGUUGUUGGAGAAGAAUGGUCGGCAGAGUAACUGUUGUCGGCGUGACGGUAUCCAACCAGAAAGCCACGGCUAACUACGUGCCAGCAGCCGCGGUAAUACGUAGGUGGCAAGCGUUAUCCGGAUUUAUUGGGCGUAAAGCGAGCGCAGGCGGUUUUUUAAGUCUGAUGUGAAAGCCCUCGGCUUAACCGAGGAAGUGCAUCGGAAACUGGGAAACUUGAGUGCAGAAGAGGACAGUGGAACUCCAUGUGUAGCGGUGAAAUGCGUAGAUAUAUGGAAGAACACCAGUGGCGAAGGCGGCUGUCUGGUCUGUAACUGACGCUGA
rnacentral:rRNA from 2 species